AGGUCCCAGAAAAGUCACAAAUUAGCUAUAUAGCUAAAUCUAGCUAUAUAUAGCUAGAAUUAGCUAUAAAAGCAAUAACAAUGAUGCACAUUUUAACGAUCUCACAAAGAAACAGGUUGUUACCCCACCCAUUUGGUAUACGAGCCAAAACACGAUCACAUAAAACAUGUAUCUGUGCAAUCACCUUCUCGAUGCAUGUUGCAGAUUAUUGCGAUAAUUCAUUUGAAAAUACCUUUAACUUCUUAAUCACCAUAUACAUGAGCAUAUAAUUGGUAUAAUGCAAUGGCAACACAUCAAGGAAACAAUUACAUCUUCUACACUACUGUUCCGCCAUGUUUGUUAUGGGGUUUUGAGUCGCUUGAGACAUGUAUAAAUCAAAAAUAACUAUUACAUCAGCAGAUUCAGCAUCUGAUGUACAGACCUGCCCAAAAGUUUUAUGCAGAAAUUGUGUUAAUUUAUUUUCUCCGUCACUUAUUUUCAUAUGUUCACAAUCAUAUAUGAUAACCGAAUAAAGUUUAAAUUAGUAAUCGUUUUCUUCUUUACACUACAUAUUUAUUUUGUUUUAACAAAAUAAUUCUAUAACAUACUAACUUCGUAAGAUUUUGGAUGGUAAAGAUUUUUUGGAGUCCAUUAUAAAGUUUUCAUAAGGUCGGCGAUUUACUCGAUUUUUUCGUGCCAGUUAAUGCAACGUGAAAAUUUUACAAUACCAUAUAUAUUUCGUGCAAAUAGAGACGGUCAAUAAACAGUGUCUACAGUUUUUAACAUUCAAUAUGGGGGUAAGUGUAUAGGCUAUUUUUCUACACUUUAUUUCUCUACUCACUGGAAGUCUUUGCAAUUGUUAAUAUUUAUAAUAGGUCUUGCAUUGCAAAUAUUCAUGUUUUAUUACUUCCAUCUUCUUCGUCAUCGUCAUCAUCAUCACCUGCAUAAAUAGAGAAAAAUACCAGGUAAUAGUUUAAUAUUGGGCCAAUGUUGGGCAUGUAUGUUUUGAUUAAACUAUUUAUAUAAUGUUAAAAAUAAUGAAGUAGUAUUUAAACUAAAUUGUCUUUUGCAUUGUAGCGUGUAAAAAAUCCAGGAAAAAAUGUUAAAAAACAACCAUCAAGAGCUCAAAAGCACAGGAGCGGUAAAACCGACUGCACAUACACAGAAGACAGUCUUUCAAGGGCCCAGAAACUUUACAGACGAGGGCAAAGUAUCAAGAAUAAACUAGAAGAGUUACACAACAUCACGGGAACUCAUAUUUUUUAUGAGUAUUUGACAGAGAGUGGGACACAUGAAGUGUGGAAAAGUAAAGGCUGUCCUCUAAGACCUGAUGAACAAGCUAGAACUGAAUACAUUGCAAAAAACCCUACUGAAGGUGAAGCAGGACCAUCAGGUAGUAAUGUACAACCGUUAGAAAGUCAUCCAGAGUCAGACGAGGAGGUUUUAUUUCCAGCCCCUGUCUUAGAAAACCCUGACACAGAAUCAGAGAAAGAAAACAAUUCGUCAGAUGUAGAAGAAAAUGAAGAAAACUGUAAAGUUUGUGGAAAGCCUGACACUAAAAAAAAAUUUAUUUGGAUAGGUUGUUCUGCAAGGAAAUGCAAUUACUGGGUGCAUUCGUCUUGUACUGGCUUUGUUCAUAAAAAUCAAAGGGCAUUUGAUGAGUUAAAAUAUUUUUGUCCGAAACAUCGUUAAAAUAAUAAAGUUAUGAUGAAUUAUUGAAAUAAAUAUGUAUACCUUUCACCUCUUUAUUCCAUUUUUCAAAAUACUUGUCAGAUUCAUUUUCUCUAUCAUAUUCACGUAAAUCCCUUAGUAAUGCUAAAAUCAUAUCCGAAAGUUGUGCUUUGGUUUUCUUGGUUAUGUCAUGGAAUAUGGAGCGGUUUUCGGGUAUUACGAAAAGUGGUUCCAGUUGUAUUCCUUUGCCUGGUUUACUUCCCUGUUCUAUAGCAGUGAAAUAUUGGUCCCUAUUCCUUUGGCAUUUAGUUUCAAAACAUCUUAGUUCUUUAUCCAAUUCCUUUCCACUGAUAGAUUUAUGUGGUCUGUUUGAUAAAAUGACGGGUUAAAUUCAAAACAAAAAAGGGAAAACAUACGGUGUAUAUCAUUUAAAGUAUAGUUAAUUUUAUGAAAUAAAAUAUAAAUAUAACAAAUGUGGAAACUAUAUAUUGUACUUUUAAUAAAAAAUAUGAAUGGUUUUUUAAAUAUUGAUAAUUCAUUAUAUAAUCACUGUAUACCUUUUGUCAUUAAUAUCUUGUAGAUAUUUACUAUUUCUCAAAAUUUCCCUCCAGCCCGACACUUCCUUUUCAGUGUUUCUUCUAUAUAUAUUGUGAUGAAUAUUGUCCUCCAAUUGUAGU